UUGCCCACCGGGGCCGUGGAUACCUGCUUCAUUUUU
rnacentral:ncRNA from 1 species